rnacentral:rRNA from 1 species
CGAAAACGAAUUCUCUCUUGAGUGGAUCCUGAGUACGACGGAGCACGUGAAAUUCCGUCGGAAUCUGGGAGGACCAUCUCCUAAGGCUAAAUACUCUCUAGUGACCGAUAGUGAACCAGUACCGUGAGGGAAAGGUGAAAAGUACCCCGGAAGGGGAGUGAAAGAGAACUUGAAACCGUGUGCUUACAAGUAGUCAGAGCCCGUUAAUGGGUGAUGGCGUGCCUUUUGUAGAAUGAACCGGCGAGUUACGAUCUGAUGCAAGGUUAAGCAGAAAAUGUGGAGCCGUAGCGAAAGCGAGUCUGAAUAGGGCGAAUGAGUAUUUGGUCGUAGACCCGAAACCAGGUGAUCUACCCUUGGUCAGGUUGAAGUUCAGGUAACACUGAAUGGAGGACCGAACCGACUUACGUUGAAAAGUGAGCGGAUGAACUGAGGGUAGCGGAGAAAUUCCAAUCGAACUUGGAGAUAGCUGGUUCUCUCCGAAAUAGCUUUAGGGCUAGCCUCAAGUGAUGAUUAUUGGAGGUAGAGCACUGUUUGGACGAGGGGCCCCUCUCGGGUUACCGAAUUCAGACAAACUCCGAAUGCCAAAUAAUUUAACUUGGGAGUCAGAAUGUGGGUGAUAAGGUCCAUAUUCGAAAGGGAAACAGCCCAGACCACCAGCUAAGGUCCCAAAAUAUAUGUUAAGUGGAAAAGGAUGUGGCGUUGCCCAGACAACUAGGAUGUUGGC